GCCUAGGUGGCUCAGUCGGCUGAGCAUCUGCCUUUAGCUCAGGUCAUGAUCCUGGAGUCCUGGGAUAGAGUCCCAUCUUGGGCU
rnacentral:tRNA from 1 species